CUUAAAACGGAAAAAAGAAAAAGAAGCGUUAUUUUUCAACAACCUUUCUCUCUCUUCAAUUUCCCAGCCGCUCACAACACUUUGUAAACCCUAAAGUUCUUCUCUCUUCUUCGUUCAGUUCACCCUCACCCUCUCGACCUAUGAACAACAAAAAUUAGGACAUCCAAGGCUAGGGAAAGCAAAGACCGAUCAUGACGGACGACACAAGUUUAACGGCGGCCGUUACGAACUGUCACGGUGAUGCCGCCAUGAGUAUCCGGAACUCAAACCAAAAUCAUACCUUACCCAAACACAAAGGAAAACCAUAAACUUAAAUCUCGCAGUGAAAUUUCCAAAAAAAACCGAGAACAACAACAAACAAGAUCCAAAAUCAGAAAAUCAAGAAAAAAGACUCCAAAUCUUUAAAUCAAAACCAAACCAAAUACAACAACAUCUUCACGCAAUAAUCAUGGGGGUCACGUUCUAUGAGGCAAUACAAAUAUGACAAUAAUAUCAUAACAUGCAAAGGAGAAUUUUAAAUACCAAAUCGGAGCUAGUCCGACGUUAAGAUUUCGGCAAGGUGAGGUUACAAGUUUGAAAUGACUUGAUGGAAUGGGAGGUGGCUAUAAGAAAGCACACUUGGAGGCGCGCCCAAGUCAAAGGGGUUUUCAUCUUGAUUACCUGGCUUUAGUCUUUAGGAUUUGUUUCCAUUUGCAGCAAAUUUCCACUUAAUUAAAAUGUAAUUACUUAGUUUAGUUUUUUUUAAGACAAAUGUGUGUUUGGAUUAUUUGUAACUUAUUAAAUUAAAUUUUAAUUAUGUAA